UGUUAGGUUUGUGUUUCUCUGGUGGUGACAUCUUGGCGGUGGAUACAAUGUCUUACAAACAAUGUUGUUUUGACUUCACCCUUGCUCUCGUGUAAGCGUCAACUCCAUGUAGCAUGUAGUUCUCGUGGCUCUUCUUUCCAUGUUGUUAGUAGUCUUCGACCUUCGUCGUCGAUUCACUCAUUGAGUAAUAGUCCCACAAUCUUCCUUGACAGGGGUAAACGGAGAUGGAUCCCUUGAUGAUCCCACGUCAGAGGAUUUGCGUCAGAGGUAAUCUCCAGUCAUAGUGAUACAACAUUCUUAGGUUUCCACUUUUAGGAGGACGACUUGAGUGACUUUCCAUAACCUUUCUUAAAAAAAAAAAUUCCAAAACCCGUGAGGUUAGUCCAGUAUAAUCUAGUGACAAAUAUGAAGGAUAGAUGAUCUAAAGAAGUUGACUUCAUAUGAUCUUGAUGGAGCUUUUAAUUUUAUCGGGAUAGUUGUUGUUUUCUGUCCGUCUCGUUAUUCAAUCCGUCGGACUUUCUUAAAUGAAUGUGAGACCAUUGUUAAAGACUUUCCAAUUAGUCGGCCG
rnacentral:lncRNA from 1 species